AGCACCAUGGCUUAGCUGGCUAAAGUGCCUGCCUUAUAAACAGGAAAUCCUGGGUUCAAAUCCCAGUGGUGCCU
rnacentral:tRNA from 1 species